AUUGAACGCUGGCGGCACGCCUUACACAUGCAAGUCGAACGGCAGCGGGGGAGAAGCUUGCUUUUCCUGCCGGCGAGUGGCGAACGGGUGAGUAAUACAUCGGAACGUGCCCUGUAGUGGGGGAUAACUAGUCGAAAGAUUAGCUAAUACCGCAUACGACCUGAGGGGGAAAGCGGGGGACCGCAAGGCCGCAUGCUAUAGGAGCGGCCGAUGUCUGAUUAGCUAGUUGGUGGGGUAAAGGCCUACCAAGGCGACGAUCAGUAGCUGGUCUGAGAGGACGAUCAGCCACACUGGGACUGAGACACGGCCCAGACUCCUACGGGAGGCAGCAGUGGGGAAUUUUGGACAAUGGGCGAAAGCCUGAUCCAGCAAUGCCGCGUGUGUGAAGAAGGCCUUCGGGUUGUAAAGCACUUUUGUCCGGAAAGAAAUGGCUCUGGUUAAUACCUGGGGUCGAUGACGGUACCGGAAGAAUAAGGACCGGCUAACUACGUGCCAGCAGCCGCGGUAA
rnacentral:rRNA from 1 species